AUGAAGGCGAUGUUUGACGCAUCGAUUAAGGCGGUUCCAGCCUCCGAAGCAGAAUCAGAAUCAGAACAAGUGGAAGGCACAGAAAGGUUAAGAAAACUGCUUUUUAAGAACAAAAUUCACGUUGACACUGAAACCGAUUUCCAGCAUGGUCUUGCACUAUGCUAUUCAGAUUGCCUUAGAGCAUUCAAGCAAGGUUCCCCCAACAUGAAUUCUCUUGUAGGGUCUGCAACUGCAUUUGCUAUUAGUGCAGUUUCCUUGCUAAACCCUGAAUUGGCAUGGAAUUCAAUCUUCUUCAAUGAACCGGUGAUGCUUCUUGGAUUUGUAAUUCUGGGCGGAUCUCCCGAGGAAAGUGCUAGGCUUAAGGCAUCUAGCGAUAUGAAUGAGUUCAUUUCACUCUUAUCUCCUCAGUCGAGGCUAGUCGUUACAUCAUCGGGCGAUGAUCUUCCUUCAGAUUGUAUUUUGAAUUUGGAUGCAAUAACAGUUCAAGUUCUUGUCAAUGAUGUCCAUGUUGGAGACUCAGUAUUGGUUAUUGAGUCAUUAGAAAGGAUGGUUGAUGAUUCUGACUUUGAACAUGGUACCCAUCAUCAUAUUGAAACUAGACCGGUGGAUGUGCAUAAGCAAGAUAAGUGCGCACAUGAACGCUUAGGAGGCGUGCCAAUGGCACGCCCCAGCCACUAG
rnacentral:rRNA from 1 species